rnacentral:lncRNA from 1 species
AGUAGAUUAUCUGUCUCUCUAAGCUUUUGUUUCCACCCUUUGUUUUCUUUAUAUCCAAUUUUAGCAUGCUUUGACAGUGCUUUUCAAAUAGAAAUGUAAAACAUUGGAUUAAUGAAUUAGACGAGAUGCUCAGCUCCUGCCUGCUGUGAGUUUAAAACUUUAUUGCGAAUGCAAACUUAGAGAUAUCUUUAUGAGGUUAAUACAGAAUCAUGCAUCCCAUUCUGUACAGCCCAGUGGACAAAGUCUGCCAUGUGAUACGAGCAAGGCAUUCACAAAGGCAUCUCUCAUUUCAGAUUGCAGCAGUGACAGGAGUACGCUUUCCUGUACCUUAAAUUCUCAAACUUUGCCAUUUCCAAGUCGGGCCACUUACCAACAACUGAAAGGUGUCUUCCUUCACCCUUGCAACUUCCAUGGGGCUUUUUUCUGAGGAAUUCAUUUUAGCCCCAGAUCCUGCAAGCUGAGAUAUUUAUACAGCCUAAGCCCAGAGUCUCUGAGGAGCAACUAGGAUUAUCAAACCAUUAAAUUUCGGUAAGAUGAGACUUCUCUAGAUUCUAUGGAUUUUACAGCAUUUUUGCAGACUGACAGGCACUGUCAGCUGGGAGCUCAGCAUGGCUUCUUGUUCCCUGCUACCAGGUAGGUGUUCACCUGCAGCUCCAUCCUUUCACAAGUACAUGGUUCUCCUGGACAUUUUAUUGCCAAGUUCUAGAAAAAAACAUAUGAGAUGUCAGAGAAAAACAGAACAUUUAUAUUUUAAGGAUAAAUAAUACUGUUGCUGGAGGAUAAAAAUGCCAUUAAAUUUAUUAACUCUAGUGGUAAUGUCUAUUUAAAAUGGUAUUGAGAAGCAGUCUGCUAUGUAACUAAACUAUUAAAUAAAAGCCCAAACAACAUUUCUUUGUUCAGCCAAACCGACACCAUUGGUAUUACCUUGUUUGCCCACAGUUUAGCUGAGGACCUGGUAGUUUGCUUUCCUGGACAUUGCUUUCUCAAUAAGUGUAUGGCAAAUUCAUAAAGCUCAUCACCACCAUCUGAUGCUCUGCUCUGACCACUGGUUUUGUUGGAGUUAGAGCAGAUUAUUAUUUUUUUCCAACAGGAUGAGCAGGCCUAUUAAACACGGAAUAGAAACUGAACCCAAAACUCGGAGCUGAUGGUGUUUUCUGAAAUGGCCACGUACCAGCUGCAGUGCUGUCGGUAUGUGUUCUGCUGUUGGUUUGAAGGGAGCAGGAUGUGACCUGUGGUACCUUUCAUGGCAGGGCAUUGCAAGCAUGCUACCAUUUAGGGAUCUACUCAUCCUCUAAUAUGCGCCCUGAAAAUGCUGCAACACUGUUUAUUGUCUGUAUUAAGGUUGCGCCUAGUUUAUGCUAAUUUUGAUAGCGGAAAGACCAUGUUCUGUAUCACUUAUGCACAUUUAUGCACAAGGCACUAUUUUCAGCAUGCAUCAGGACCCUAGGCACCCCAAGAGGCUCCGAUUGCCCUGAGCAGCCUUGGAUGGGGGUGGCACCCUCUGCCCCUAGCCAGGCCCUGCAUUUGCACCCCAGCGUUUGCCCUUCCACCUGAGCCGUGCCGU